rnacentral:misc_RNA from 1 species
UCUCCGUUGGUGAACCAGCGGAGGGAUCAUUAUCGAGUUUAUAACUCCCAAACCCUAUGUGAACUUACCACUUGUUGCUUCGGCGCGCGCUUCGGUGCCGCCGAGGACACUUAAACUCUUUGUUUUUAUAAGCAUUUCUGAGUGGCCGAAAGGCAAAAUACAAAUGAAUCAAAACUUUCAACAACGGAUCUCUUGGCUCUG